rnacentral:rRNA from 1 species
GUAGGUGGCAAGCGUUGUCCGGAAUUAUUGGGCGUAAAGCGCGCGCAGGCGGUUCUUUAAGUCUGAUGUGAAAGCCCACGGCUCAACCGUGGAGGGUCAUUGGAAACUGGAGAACUUGAGUACAGAAGAGGAAGGCGGAAUUCCACGUGUAGCGGUGAAAUGCGUAGAGAUGUGGAGGAACACCAGUGGCGAAGGCGGCUUUCUGGUCUGUAACUGACGCUGAGGCGCGAAAGCGUGGGGAGCAAACAGGAUUAGAUACCCUGGUAGUCCACGCCGUAAACGAUGAGUGCUAAGUGUUAGGGGGGUUUCCGCCCCCCUUAGUGCUGCAGCUAACGCAUUGAGCACUCCGCCUGGGAGUACGGCCGCAAGGCUG